CACCGCUGCAAAUCACUGCUUCCCUUUGCGAAGGGACUAUCUAUUUACCUAUUUACUUUUAUGUUUUGUCAUCACCUUCUCAUAUAAGCGCCAAAUCUGAGAGCACUAUUGUCAUCCUCAUGCAUUGUGUAUAGCUAAUGUUGGGUGCAUCAUGACUGGAUCUUUUCUAUUAUAAAUUACAAUGUUUAAUCGUUGCUUGAACUUUGGAGGUGCUCUGCAUUUAUAUUUUGCGGUCUCAGAAAGGGCUGGCGAGAUACCACUAUCUUUCUCUAAUAUUAUUUAUAUAUAUAUAUAUAUGACAAAUUUUAUCUACCACCAGUGGUAGUUACCACCACUUGAGUUUGUAUGUCGUAUGUAGUAUCUAUCAAAUCAAAGAGUAUGUACACGUAGUAUGUAGUAUAUAAGAAUAUUUAGUUAGUAUAUAUACUAUUUUUUUUGAUACUAUGUAUCAUAUUUUAAGUAUGCUCCUUUUUACGUACAAAUAUAAUAAAAAUCAUGGGCCAACUUGCAAUUUUUUCAUGUAACUCACUUUGAAGUAUAUUAUAUAUAGUAUAUGAACAUACUUAAAACGAUAAAGUAGAAUAUAUACUACCACAUGGUAGUAUAUGAGACAUGUGAGGUAACUACCCCAGAUGAUAGGAUGGAUUUUCUAUAUAUAUAUAUAUAUAAAAUAAUAAUAAAAUGGCUAUCGCUUCUGCCCGUCCGCUCACCGUCAUUGUAAUUACCCUUGAACUUGCUGAAAAUUACCCACCGCUGCCAUCCUUAAGUCAGAAAGACGAUUCAUCUUAUAAUCGCCACACGAAAAAAAAAAAGAACGCACGCCUCAUCCGCAACCCGCAAUCACCGGCCCCAAAAAGAACGCAUCGCCGCCCUUUGCCUUCGCCCCCACUGCCGUCCGCGCCACCGCCCUUUGCCUCCGCCCCCAUCGCCGGUACGUACCGCUGCCCUUUGCUUCCGCCACACCGUCGUUCGCGCCGCCGCACUUUGCCUCCGCCACCACCGCCGUCCACGCCGCCGCACUUUGCCUCCGCCACCACCGCCGUCCGUGCCACCGCCCUUUGACGCCGCCUCCAUAGCCAUACCAGUACGAAAGAAAAAAUAACCUAGCCCCGCCACUUCCUCGCAGCGCUCCGCCCCGCCUCUGGCCACCUCCCCCCACCCCCACCCCCUGCCUCACCGCGCACCCUCAACCGCCCCCUGCCUCCCACCCCGGAGAAAGGUGAGUGCGGCUUCCAAUGGACGGAUCCAGACGGAGGAGGGUUAGGGAGGCGCGCGGAAGACCGACGAGGUUGGGAGGCACUGGAUACAAAGUUCGAGGUGGCGCCAUGGUUGCUCGGUGAGCUCCUGCAAGGGAACAUGGCGGGACGAGAUUUAAAGGGAGGUGUGAGAGAGAAGGGAAAGGGAGCGGCGGCGGAGACUCCGCUGCUCACCAGCGAGUGCGAGGUGUGGGGAAUGUCGAGCGCUGGGGCGCCAUGCGCAGCUGCGGCUGCGGGCGGUUGAAGACGCGGCCUUAGGUGAGCUGUUGUUGCGUUCGUGUGCGAGCGCCGUUCCGUCCGUCGGACUAAGGGAGGGUGGGUUGUGGAGACUUCGGGGUGGCUGGUGGAGGCUUUGGUCUUGUUGCAAGGCCGGAGGAGGCGACAAGUGGCGGCUCGCCAUGGCUGCACUGCACGGGAGCGGAGGCAGGCGUUCGGUGGCCAGUCCGUGUGGAUGCAAAUGAGAUCCAGCCGUGAUGAACAAAUAGCAGCAGACUGUGCUGCUCUUUUCCUCUUAUCUGAAUUUUCUGCAGAUGAGAUCCAGCCAUGAUAAACAAACACCAGCAGGCCGUGGCGUCAUGCUGCUCUCUUAUCUAUCUGAAUUUUCUGCAAUUCAGAGCCACCAAGGAAGAGAUGGACGAGGCCGUGCUGCUCCUUUCAUCUAUCUGAAUUGCUAUAUGAAAAUCUCUGAAUUUCCAAUCUGGAAGAUUAACGAGACGGCCGAUAGAUCGGUUUUGGUGGCAGCGCUGCUUUGGUAUCCCUGCUCCAUGGCAUGUGUUUUUCAUUGCCUCCUCCACGUAGCUCUCCCAGUAACAGUGAAGAUAGCUUGGUGUGGGCUAGUUCUUAAUUAAUCUAUGUCAACAACGUUUCAAACUUUCAAUAGCUAGAUUCAUGUGGGAUGUGAAAACCAGGGGCUGAUGAAAGGAUGCUUGGUGUGGAUGGCAUGCUUUAUUUGUUUUGGAGAAUUCUCAUGCAUCUUCUCAACUUUCUACUUAUUCUUUCUUUCCUUGAAACUAGCAGGUCAAUGUGUUGUGAAAAGUUUAUCUCAUCUAUGAUGAUACAAACCUUAAAUAUAAACUUUUCCUUACUACAUGUCCCCAGCUACAGUGAAGAUCUGGAUUCACUAAAAAACUAACUAAUAAGAGUUUGUUUUCUGUCAUUUUAAUUAUGUUUUUAGGGACAAUGGUGCUAACUAUGCAAAUCGAAACUAGAUUCAUUGUUUUAUUUUCCUAACCCUCCAUUGAUAUACGUAUGCUUCAAACUAUUGUAUUAUUUUCUGUUUUAUAAGUCUUUGGACAUGUUUCAACAUUGCUCUACAAGUAAUCACACUGCUGUCAGCAGGUAAGGCGAAUCACUUCAAAAAAUUCCCAUAUAUCUCGAGUAACUACAGAAGCAGGUGUGACAACGUUUGUGUGCUCACAAACUACCAAAGCAUAUUCUUCAUUAUAUGCUAGCAAUUUACUCAAAUUAUUAUCUAUUGUAUUAGUAACUUGAGCUUCGCAAUUUGUAUUUGAUGAUUAUGUUUCCCCCCUUUUAAUAUAGAUUUCCCUAUUUACAUUUAUUGCGAAAUUGCAGCUAGAUGUUUCCGCGCCACAACAGGUCCCCUCUAACAUAUUCUUUACGUCCAUUUUACGGAAGAUGUAAGUGUACAGAAAGAUUAACAUGGGUUACUCUUCUUUCAAGGGAGUAGCUACAUAGCUUAUGUAAAUUCUUAAUUGUCAUUUCCUAUUCAUGUACUGGCUGAGUUUUUAUUUAGAAGGUACUUUGUAGUUUCGAUGCAUUGUCGUGGAUUUGCAUUUUCUGAUUAAAAAUUGCCCUUUUAUUUUUUUCCUCUAAAAGGAUGAUUGCCUUUUUGUGAAGACCUUUGUGUUGAUAUUUUAGUUUAUGAUAACAUGUCACAUCAUUAGAGAAAUUUCAUCACUUUUUGCUGGUAUAAUUCUUCAAUAUCAUUUAUACUUCUAUAAAAAUCAUAAGGUGGUCUAGACGAUGAUCAUCAGGAUGCUUGUGUGCCAUAGUUGUCUUCUUAGCCCGGUGCCUUAACUAUUGUCUUGCUUUUUAUCUGCAGCCAUUGCAAUUCUCAAUAAUGCGACUCUUCUGUUCCAUAGUAAAGUUUUAGGUGAUCUGUAAUGAAAACAAAACUGCAGAGGAUAUAAGAAAUAUAUUAUCAUAUUCUUUUUGGGCCUACUGUAAAGUUACAUACUCCACUACAUAUAUGAUAUUUCUUUUGGAUGUUGAA